rnacentral:rRNA from 1 species
CACGUAGGGACCGAGCGUUGUCCGGAUUCAUUGGGCGUAAAGCGUGCGCAGGCGGUUCUCCAAGUCCGUUGUGAAAGCCCCGGGCUCAACCUGGGAAUGGCAGUGGAAACUAGGGGACUUGAAUCUGGCAGAGGGGGGUGGAAUUCCACGUGUAGCAGUGAAAUGCGUAGAGAUGUGGAGGAACACCGAUGGCGAAGGCAGCCCCCUGGGCUGAGAUUGACGCUCAGGCACGAAAGCGUGGGGAGCAAACAGG